rnacentral:rRNA from 1 species
UGAGUACGAGAUGCUACGGCAUCGAAGCAGUCUAUGUCAUACUUCCAAGAAAAGCUUGCACUGUCAGAAACAGAUAAUGCCUGUACCAUAACCGACACAGGUGGGUAGGUAGAGUAUACUAAGGGGCGCGAGAUAACUCUCUCUAAGGAACUCGGCAAAAUGACUCCGUAACUUCGGGAGAAGGAGUGCCUUAUUUUUAAGGUUGCAAUAACAAGAUCCAAGCAACUGUUUACCAAAAACACAGGUCUCCGCUAAGUCGUAAGACGAUGUAUGGGGGCUGACGCCUGCCCAGUGCCAGAAGGUUAAAGAAGUCGGUUAGCAUUCGCGAAGCUGGUAACUGAAGCCCUGGUGAACGGCGGCCGUAACAAUAACGGUCCUAAGGUAGCGAAAUUCCUUGUCGGGUAAGUUCCGACCCGCACGAAAGGCGUAAUGAUUUGGAUACUGUCUCGGAGAGGGGCUCGGUGAAAUAGACUUGUCUGUGAAGAUGCGGACUACCUGCACCUGGACAGAAAGACCCUAUGAAGCUUUACUGUAACUUGAAAUUGAAAUUGGACUUUAUUUGCGCAGUAUAGGUGGGAGGCGUUGAAAAUAUUCUUGCGGGAAUAUUGGAGCCAUCAGUGAGAUACCACUCUUGUAAUGUUAGAUUUCUAACUUUAUAUCAUUAUCUGGUUAAAGAACAGUUUCAGGCGGGCAGUUUGACUGGGGCGGUCGCCUCCCAAAUGGUAACGGAGGCGCACAAAGGUUUCCUCUGAACGGGUAGAAAUCGUAUCUAGAGUGUAAAGGCAUAAGGAAGCUUGACUGUGAGACCUACAAGUCGAGCAGGGACGAAAGUCGGUCUUAGUGAUCUGACGGUGCUGAGUGGAAAGGCCGUCACUCAACGGAUAAAAGUUACUCUAAGGAUAACAGGCUGAUCUCCCCCAAGAGUUCACAUCGACGGGGAGGUUUGGCACCUCGAUGUCGGCUCAUCGCAUCCUGGGGCGGUAGUACGUCCCAAGGGUUGGGCUGUUCGCCCAUGAAAGCGGUACGCGAGCUGGGUUCAGAACGUCGUGAGACAGUUCGGUCCAUAUCCGGUGUAGGCGUUAGAAUAUUGAGAGGAGCCUUCUUUAGUACGAGAGGACCGAGAAGGACAUACCUCUGGUGUACCAGUUAUCGUGCCAACGGUAAACGCUGGGUAGCUAUGUAUGGAGUGGAUAACCGCUGAAAGCAUCUAAGUGGGAAGCCCACCUCAAGAUAAGUAUUCUCACC